UACGUAGGCAGCAAGCGUUGUUCGGAAUCACUGGGCGUAAAGCGCACGUAGGCGGCUUGUUAAGUCAGGGGUGAAAUCCUGGAGCUCAACUCCAGAACUGCCUUUGAUACUGAAGAUCUUGAGUUCGGGAGAGGUGAGUGGAACUGCGGGUGUAGAGGUGAAAUUCGUAGAUAUUCGCAAGAACACCAGUGGCGAAGGCGGCUCACUGGCCCGAUACUGACGCUGAGGCACGAAGGCGUGGGGAGCAAACAGGG
rnacentral:rRNA from 1 species